rnacentral:rRNA from 1 species
CUACGGGGGGCUGCAGUGGGGAAUAUUGCACAAUGGACGAAAGUCUGAUGCAGCAACGCCGCGUGGAGGAUGACACAUUUCGGUGCGUAAACUCCUUUUAUAUAGGAAGAUGAUGACGGUACUAUAUGAAUAAGCGCCGGCUAACUCCGUGCCAGCAGCCGCGGUAAUACGGAGGGCGCAAGCGUUACCCGGAAUCACUGGGCGUAAAGAGCGUGUAGGCGGAUUAAUAAGUUGGGAGUGAAAUCCUAUGGCUCAACCAUAGAACUGCUUCCAAAACUGUUAAUCUAGAGUAUGGGAGAGGUAGAUGGAAUUUCUGGUGUAGGGGUAAAAUCCGUAGAGAUCAGAAGGAAUACCGAUUGCGAAGGCGAUCUACUGGAACAUUACUGACGCUGAGACGCGAAAGCGUGGGGAGCAAACAGGAUUAGAUACCCCCGUAGUC